rnacentral:lncRNA from 1 species
AAAAUUCUGGAAAUUUUCCAGAAUUGCAGUUUCACUCUCUCGGAUCCCUUUAUACUUUAUAUAUAGGCUCCAAUUCACUUUUAGCCUAUAGUAACUCAUUCCUUUCUGCGCUCCGCUCGUUUUGACGGGACUCGACUCAACCUACGGGGUAGUGAUACGUUACAUUCCCCACCCCUUAAAAUUAUUUCGGCCGCGAAACUAAUUCACUCGUAAUUCAACAUCCAUACCUCAUCUUAGUUCCUCGAAGAGAUGAGGAUGACGUUCCUUCAUCACGUCCUCAAGCUCCCACGUUUCUUCUCUAUCGCCGUGUUCGCUCCAAUGGAUCUUAACAUACGAAAUUUCUCGAUUCCGUAGCUUUCGCACCUCCCGAUCAACAAUGUACGCCGGGAACUCCUCGUAGGCCAUGUCCUCUUGAAGUUCUGUCGGUAUAUACGAGAGAACAUGCUCCGGAUCGUGAACAUACUUGGGGAGAUUAGACACAUGGAACACAUCGUGCACCCCCGCAAGCCUCGGCGGUAAUGCUACUCUGUAGGCCACCGCGCCAACUCUUUCUAAGAUCUCGAAGGGUUCGACAAAUCGGGGACUUAACUUUCCCCGGACACCAAACCUCUUAACACCGCGCAUCGGCGAUACCUUCAGAAACACGCAGUCUCCAACCGCGAACUCGAUGUCCUUCCUUCGCUUAUCGGCAUAGCUCUUGUGCCUUGAUUGCGCCGUCACUAACCUUUGCCGGGCAAGACGAACUUUCUCCUAUGCCUCCCGAACAACUUCUGGGCCAAGAACAACUUUCUCGCCCACCUCGCUCUAAUGAAUUGGCUAGCGACACUUCCUUCCAUAUAGAGCUUCGAAUGGCGCCAUUGCAAUACUUUCUUGAUAGCUAUUGUUGUAUGCAAAUUCCGCCAUCGAUAAGUAAUCGUGCCACUCUCCACGAUAGUCAAGCACACAUGCUUGCAACAUGUCCUCGAGUAUCUGAAUGGUCCUCUUAGAUUGUCCAUCACUCUGAGGAUGAAACGCCGUGCUAAAAUCGAGCCGCGUGCCUAGAGUAUCUUGCAAGCUCCUCCAGAAAUGAGAAGUGAACCGAGGAUCUCGAUCUAAUACGAUCGACAUGGGAACCCCAUGUAGUCUCACUAUCUCGUCCAAGUGAACCUGGGCCAACUUAUCUCCUGACCACGUGGUGUGGAUCGGCAAAAAAGUGAGCCGAUUUCGUCAAAAGGUCCACAACCACCCAUAUGGCGUCAUGUCCAGCCUGCGAUCGGGGCAGCCCGACCACAAAGUCCAUCGCGACAUUCUCCCACUUCCACACGGGGAUCGGUAAGCUUUGCAGCUUCCCCGUGGAAAAACGACACUCGACUUUUACUUGUUGGCACGUCAAACAUUGCGCCACGAAUUCUCCGAUGUCCUUCUUCAUACCCGGCCACCAAUAAUGCAACUUUAAAUCCUUGUACAUCUUAGUGCCGCCCGGGUGAAUACUAUACGAGGAAUGAUGCGCCUCUUGCAACACCAUCUUACGAAUCUCAUCGUCCUUGGGUACGCACAAUCAGUUCCUGAAUCUAAGUGCACCAUCGGCUCCCACGCCGAAAUCACCGGCGCGCCCAUCACUAACAUCGUUCCACACCUUUUGGAGAUACGGAUCAUCAACUUACCGCUCCUUGAUUUGCUCCAACAAGGUCGGUCGAACUAUUAGUGCCGCCAAGAUAGUCGGAACUUCCGGCGCCACUACCUCCAAUCCAAACCACUGCAUUUCCUUAUGUAAUGCCGGCUGAUUUGUAAUCGUCGUCGCCAAGUUCUCAGCAAAUUUCCUACUCAGCGCAUCGGCCACCACGUUGGCUUUACCGGGGUGGUAUAGGAUAGUAAGAUCAUAAUCCUUUAUCAAUUCCAGCCAACGCCGCUGCCACAUAUUCAACUCUUUCUGGGUGAACAAAUACUUGAGGCUUUUGUGAUCGGUAUAUACCUCACAAUGCUCACCAUAUAGAUAAUGCCUCCAAAGCAUCAGCGCGAAAAUGACCGCCGCAAGCUCAAGAUCGUGGGUCGGGUAGUUCUUCUCGUAGCCUUUCAACUAGCGCGAAACAUACGCAAUGACUCGCCCAUUUUGCAUAAGAACACACCCAAGAUCGGUGUAAGAAGCAUCACUAUACACCAUGAAGCUCUCUCCCGGCGUUGGCAAAGCAAGUACCGGAGUAGACGUCAACUUCUUCUUCAACUCUUGGAAGCUUCGGUCGCAACCUUCGCUCCAAUCAAACCUUACUCCUUUGUUCGUAAGGUGUGUGGGAGGAGUGGUCAACUUCGCAAACCCCUCAACAAAACGCCUAUAAUAGCCCGCCAAUCCAAGAAAACUGCGGACUUCCGCCACGCUCGUAGGAUGGGGCCAAUCUCGAAUCGCCUCAAUCUUCCUCGGGUCCACCGAGAUCCCGCUCCCGAAUAUCACAUGACCUAAAAAGGUCACCUCCGGAAGCCAGAAUUUGCAUUUCUUGAGUUUAGCAUAAAGCUUCUCAUCUCGGAGUAUUUGCAACACGGUCCUUAGAUGUUCCUCGUGCUCUUCUUCACUCCGCGAAUACACCAACACGUCGUCGAUAAACACCACGACGCACUUAUCCAACAAUGGUCGAAAGACCCUAUUCAUCAAGUCCAUAAACGCUGUCGGGGCAUUGGUAAGCCCAAACGGCAUCACCGUAAACUCAUAAUGGCCAUACCGCGUACGGUACGCCGUUUUAUGCAGGUCUUUCGGUCGGAUUUUCAACUGAUGAUAUCCCGACUGAAGAUCUAUCUUCGAGUAUACCCGCAACCCCUGCAACUGAUCGAACAGGUCAUCUAUUCUUGGUAACGGGUACUUGUUCUUGAUUGUCACCUUGUUCAACUCGCGAUAAUCAACGCAGAGUCGAAGGGUGCCGUCCUUCUUCUUCACAAACAAUACUGGUGCUCCCCAGGGGGACACACUUGGCUUCACGAAACCUUUAUAAAGUAGGUCCUGCAACUGGGCCUUUAACUCUUUAAGCUCCACCGGUGCCAUUCUAUACGGAGCCUUUGAAACUGGCGCCGCACCGGAAAUCAAGUCAAUGUCGAACUCGACUUCCCGAUUUGGUGGUAGUCCCGGUAACUCUACAGGAAAUACGUCCGGGUAUUCACACACUACCCGAAUGUUCCCCAACUCCGGGCGCUCUUUUUGAGGGUCCACGAUGGUCGCCAAGUAAGCCUUGCAACCACCCUUGAUCAUCCUUUUCGCCCUCACCGUCGAUAUAGUCACCGCAAAACGCACGCCCUUACACGCUCGAUACUCAAACUCGUCUUGACCAGGCUCGCGAAAAGUGAUCACUCUACUGUCACAAUCGAUGCUGGCAUAGUACUUGGAGAGCCAAUUAACUCCCAAGAUAACAUCAAUGCCCCACAUCUGCUUAAGUACUAGCAAAUCCACCGGCAUAAUCCAGUCGCCGAUUUGAACCGGACAUGCUAGGCACUCGUCGUGGACUCUAAACGAGUGUUCCGGUGCGUUAACCCACCAAUAGUCAUAACUAUGUUCUAUGUCCAUGCCAUGUGUCUUAGCAAACGAGACAUCAAUGAAUGAAUGCGAUGCGCCCGUGUCAAAUAGCGCUCUUGCUCUAACACCAUUAAUCAAAAUAAUACCUGCCAUGACGUCGUCAGGUACGGCAGGCUGCUCCUCCACCUGAGUAGCGAAAACCCGUCCACUCCGUGCACGUGAUCCCUCCGGCUCUCGCGGUGAUGAAGCGCACCCAGCCGACAUGGCAGGUGGCAGUCCUGCGAGCUGUCGUGGAGCAUACUGAGCCGAAGCAGCUGACGAAGCCGGUGACGCGCCGCCCGGGCAAUCCCAUCUCAUGUGCCCCGCUUGGCCGCAUCGGAAACAUCUCCCGUCACGCUGAGGACAUUCACUCGGCCUAUGAUUCCCACCGCAAAUUACGCAUGGGUAGGAACUCAUCUGACUCCUUGUCUGGCUCCUAUCUCGCCGCCACUGCGAUCUAGGGUGCCGAGGGGGUCGCUUGGAACUCGACUGCCCCGCGGAACCACCAUCCGAUCACUUCUUAGACUUCUCCCUGUCCUUGUCCCUUUCAAACGCCUCGCGUUCCUCACGCGCAAUGGCGUUACCGCGCUCUAUCCAUAGCGCACGAUCAAGCACCUCUUCAUAGGUCUUCAGCCGAAGCGCCUGAACCAUCUUGAAUAUCUCCGGCCGCAACCCGCGCUCGAAGACCUCCGCCGGAUCUCGGUCACUAUGAACCAAGCCGGGAACGCAGUUAACCAUGUGCGAGAAUUCCCUUUCAUAUUCCCGCACCGUUUGGCUUCCCUGCCUCAACUUGCAAAAGUCCUCCUUGAUCUUCCGUUUGUCACUUUCCGGAAAGUACUCCAUUAGCAGAAUCUCCCGGAACGCCUCCCAAGUCAUAGUAGCCGGAUCCAAGGACCGACCACCCUUCACUCUCGUCCACCACGAUCGAGCCGGCCCCUCUAAACAGUGAGCCGCCAACCGAACCUUGUCCUUCUCGAGGGUGUAGAUGUCCUCGAAUAACGCCUCCAUCGUAGAAAGCCACGCCUCCAUCAACCAUGGGUCUUUCACAUCACCCACAAAGGUCGGAGGAUUAAACCGUUUGAAGGCCGUCAACACCGCCAACGACCGCUCCCGCUCGGCUUCAAGUACCUCCGGAAUAGGAGCCGAAGAACCUAAAGCUGUCGGAGGAAUAGCCGUCACCGGUGCCGCCGCCAUCGGCGCAGGUGAUAUAGGUGCAGGCGGGUCCUGAGGUACAGGUGCAGCCGCCGCCGCCUGUCGAGCCACCAACUCAUGGAGCUGUCCCAUUUGCUCCCCUUGCUGUCGCAUAGCCCCAGCCAAAGCUGCUACUUGGGCCCGCAACUCGCGAACUUCAUUAGAUCCAACCUGCUCUGGCACCUCAUCAGGCAAUGCCGGAGCGGUCCGUCGGGUAUAGCGUCUCGGUGACAUCUGUCCUGAAACGAAAUGCACACGUUAAUACUCGACAUUCAAGACUCUUACUCGUUUCCAAACAUCUACCCAAUCAAGCGAAAGCAAUCAAGUACGUUCACUUUCUACUCUCGGCAUUAUGUAGUCCUCCGCCCCACAUAAUACCUUGAAAGAAAACAACCGUCCCUUAAGUCCAUCUCUAUUUCCGUUUAGAGAAGUUCCAUAAGAACCCAAUCCAUUAGCCUUCGCAUAUCCAAGUCCACGUUAUACGUGUCUUAAUUCCUAAGGUCUCCGAUCCUAAGGUCCCUAAGUCCAUCCUAGACUUUUGCUUUCACAUUGCUCUGAUACCACCCUAUCUGUCACGCCCCAAGCUCCGCCAAUUUUGUCGGAUUCGAGCACGCAACAGACGCCGAACGGACAGUACCUCCCAUGUCCGCCCAAGGCUCCAACAACAAGUAUAAUGCAAGCAAAACCUCAAGGAGAAUUGUGAGAUAUACAAGCUUUGCACGAGGGCAAACAACAACUACAGUGAAAGCAUCGAAACUAAUUAAACAUCCAAUAUACAUGUCAUUUGAUUACAUUUGAAUCAAACACAAGUAGUUUAACACAUUUACAUUCAUUACAUUAUUUCUUGCAUUACCCAAAAUAAAAUUUACAUUAUAUCGGUUUUACCUUACAAUUUCAACAUAGAAAAGUUGAAUACAUCAAGAGUAGGGGAUGCCUAUGUAACUCCGGGGUCGCUAUCUACGGCGCGACUCCCUUGCCUCAAUCCUCUGCUGCCCCGCUCGUGUACGGAUCUGCAGGGUUAGUGGUAAUGAGAACUAGAACGAAGUUCCCAGUGGGUUCGGCCGCCGACCACGUCGAUUUGCCCACUAGGUCUAAUUCAGGCAUAUGUAUUUCAAUAAAGAAGAAUAACAAACCAACUAAUGUACUUCUAAUACAAUGCCUGCAAGAAACAAUUCAUAGAUAGAUAUUCAUAUUCAAAUACAUGAUUACUAUGCAUGCAUGUCCUUUUUCACUUUCCUUUGGCCGUUACCCAAUUCAACCUGGGGUGCUCCUGGUUUACCCCAAUUCACAGUCCACAUAUCCAUCUAACGGGGGAGGCAUAAGGCACUACCACCCGAAGGAUCUUCGCCGGGUAUGUCCACCCGUGGUGCAUUUCUUCUCCGAAAUACACCGCUCGUGGAGGAGAGACCUCACACAAGCCUGAACCAAUACAUGUGAGUAUGAUCCCAUCCUCAAAUUUUGAGGAGGUAUGGCUAACCUGUCACAAUUCUCACUGUCUCAAUGCCGCUGAAUGGUUAUUACCUAUUCAUGCACAUACUGUCACUUGCCAAUGUCACGGUGGUCCUGAUCCCACAACACAUAAUGUCACUUGGGUUAAACCUUGUUUAACUAUUCACUUAACGAUGUCAAUCAAGUCACUAAUGUCCAUGUUGCCUUUGUUUACUACGCUCACGGUCAUUUCUUACAUUCACAUGCAUAUAGGGUCUUUCACUAUCUUUCUUCACAUGGAUCUAUAUCAUUACAAUAAUCUUACGCAGAUAAUUGUCACAACCAACAUAUACUAUUCAUUACCCUACAUGCAAGAAUGCUAUAUAUCAACAUGCUCAAAAAGGGACAUAGACAUAGAAAGAGAUCUGGUGUUUUCGUAUAGCACCCCCCACCUUUAUGUGUCACAAAGAUGCCACGGUUCCGAUUCCACGAUUUUUAGACUUGUUCGCCGCGAGCAACGACGAUCUGUACUAUUUCUGCUUCUUUUUCCAAUAUCUUCGCGCACGCUCGUCGUAUCGCCGAACCGAGCGCACCGAUGCGUUUGUAGACCUACCAAUUAGGUUAAAAUGAGAUCACAACCAAGUUUGAAUCUCAAAAUCACAAAACCCUAAAUAUGGGUCCUUCACAACAUCACCUUCUCCAAUCAAGCCCCUAGCUUGACAAAACAUGGAGGAAAAGCCACCAUAGACCUCUCUAGAUGCUUCAACUAGAAGCAAAAAACCCAAACCUAGCUCAAACUCAUAAGAACUCACCUUUGGAGUCCAAAGCUUCCCUUUAAAAGCCUUCCCUAGCUUGCUCUUCACCUUGGAGAGCUUCUUCUCCAAGCUUUUCUCCUCCAAACCCUCCUUGGUCCAAGCCCUAGAGAGAGAGGGAGAGAGAGAGGAGAGGUUUUUAGAGAGAGAGAGGAAAAUGUUUAUGUUGAGGUGUGAGUAAAUGAGAGCUAACCCUAACCCUUAGCUCUAUACAACCAUCUCAUGCAACAUUUGCACUUAAACCCCUCUCAAUUUCAUAUUCGCAAACAGCCCUCAAUGGGCACUUUCGGGCUCGGGGACCGGUCUCUCCCCUUCAGGGACCGGUUCCCGAGAGCUGUCCUGCAACCUGCGCAGAAGGGGACCGGUCUCUCCCCGAUGAAACCGGUCUCCGGGGACCGGUCUCUCACCUAGGGACCGGUUCCCGAGAGCUCAGUUUCCAGGACUUAGCCGAUUUUUCCCUCUGCUCGGUUUACCAACGUUCGGGAACCGGUAUCUCACCCAAGGGACCGGACCCCGAGAGUAAAAUUCUGGGAAUUUUCCAGAAUUGCAGUUUCACUCUCUCGGGUCCCUUUAUACUUUAUAUAUAGGCUCCAAUUCACUUUUAGCCUAUAGUAACUCAUUCCUUUCCGUGUUCCGCUCGUUUUGACGGGACUCGGCUCAACCUACGGGGUAGUGAUACGUUACAUUCCCCACCCCUUAAAAUUGUUUCGGCCGCGAAACUAAUUCAAUCGUAAUUCAACAUCCAUACCUCAUCUUAGUUCCUCGAAGAGAUG